UCCUAUGGGCGGGCCUUGGCGGGGGAGCCUUCGGGCUCGCUGGUUCCUUCUUACCGGUCUGCUAACCUCGCCAUGCGCCCGCCCACCCCG
rfam:Cupriavidus basilensis strain 4G11 chromosome secondary, complete sequence.